rnacentral:lncRNA from 1 species
CCGCUGUUCUCCUCCUCGCCUUCCUCCAAGCCCUAGAUAUCCCUUCAAGGAGGGCCUCCGGGGUAGAAGACAUGGUGUGGGAACCCUCAGAGAAGAAGUGGGGGGCUGAAGAAGGCAGGGACUGGUGCAAGGGAAGUAGCUGAGUAGCUAGGCUCUCAGGUGAAAGAAAGGUACCGUCCUAUCGACAGGAUGAAGCCAUGAAGGAAGAUUAGGGGGUUUAAAUAGCCGACGGAUCCUAGCGCAGUUAUGGCGGCAGGUGUUCCUGGGCCAACUGGUGCGUGCCACGCAUCCCGCAUGUCCCC